CCGCCCGUCACAUCAUGAAAGCCGGUUGUACCCGAAGUCCACAUUGCUAACCGCAAGGAGGCAGUGGCCGAAGGUAUGGCUGGUGAUUGGGAUG
rnacentral:rRNA from 1 species